CGGUAACAGGUCUUUCGGGAUGCUGACGAGUGGCGGACGGGUGAAGAAUGCAUCGGAAUCUGCCUGUUUGUGGGGGAUAACGCAUGGAAAGGGGGCUAAUACCGCAUACGUCCUUUGGUCGGGAGAUCAUUGGAGAAAGUGGGGGACCUUCGGGCCUCACGCGAACAGAUGAGCCGAUGUCGGAUUAGCUAGUUGGUGGGGUAAAGGCCUACCAAGGCGACGAUCCGUAGCUGGUCUGAGAGGAUGAUCAGCCACACUGGAACUGAGACACGGUCCAGACUCCUACGGGAGGCAGCAGUGGGGAAUAUUGGACAAUGGGGGCAACCCUGAUCCAGCCAUGCCGCGUGUGUGAAGAAGGCCCUUGGGUUGUAAAGCACUUUUGUUGGGGAAGAAAAGUUUUCGGUGAAUAACUGGAGACGCUGACGGUACCCAAAGAAUAAGCACCGGCUAACUUCGUGCCAGCAGCCGCGGUAAUACGAAGGGUGCAAGCGUUACUCGGAAUCACUGGGCGUAAAGGGUGCGCAGGCGGCCUGCCAAGUCUGAUGUGAAAGCCCUGGGCUCAACCUGGGAACGGCAUUGGAAACUGGUGGGCUGGAGUACGGUAGAGGGUGGUGGAAUUCCUGGUGUAGCAGUGAAAUGCGUAGAGAUCAGGAGGAACAUCCGUGGCGAAGGCGGCCACCUGGACCAGUACUGACGCUGAGGCACGAAAGCGUGGGGAGCAAACAGGAUUA
rnacentral:rRNA from 1 species